CUUUCUAAGAUUCUUUUUUACCUUAUGUUUUAAUGAAAUUUUUAUUCUAAAUUACAAAUAUUUUUGUUCUCUUUUGGUUUCUUUACAACUUUUAUCUUAAAAGACCAUGUAUGUCAACUUGACUUGUGAUUUCUAUUUAUCACUAUACAAAUGAUUUUAGGUUCUUAAAUCCAUAUUUAAGACUUUCUUUGUUUAAAAACUUCUCCUAUCUUUUAAGAUGCAGCAAUAUAAUUAUGCAUCAAAAGAUCUAAUUUAAUUCGUUAAUCUCUUUUACUAAAUACUAUGAAUCUUUUUUUUUUUUUUUUUUUUUUUUUUUUUUUUAACUUAUUCUUCAAAUCACCAUUAAAAAUCUAAAUGGUGAAAUUUAUUUCUGAGCAUGUUUCAUUUCAAGUAUCCUACUAUUGAUUUCUUCCAAACACCUCUCAAACAAUUGUAAUUAUUAUAAAAUAUUUAAUACAAUUAUUUAUAACUCAUUUAUUUUGCUUUGUAAUAUUAAUAAAUUUUGUCUAAACAUAUUUUUAUGACUUUGUUUACAUAUCUCAUACUUUUAAAAACUUAGAUGCUAUUGAGUAAUUUUAUUUAUUUAUUGAUUUUAUUCAUUGAUUUAUUUUAAAAACUACAUAACAACUUCAUAAUUUCUUGUAUGAUUUGUAGCAAGAUGAUGCACAUGGCACAACUGAUAUUCAUACAUCCUUUCGUAUAAUAUACAAGUAUUAAAUCUAUUUUUAAAUAUAAAAUUAUUAUAAUUCUUUAUAAGUUGACUAGAAUUGAAUUGUUAUUUUUAUAUUUUUUAUAUUUUUUUAUCUAGUAGCAACAAAAAUCAAACAACACCCAUAGUAAACUAAUAGGAAAUUAGUAGCUUUUGUUUAUUUUUUACUUACAGCAUUAUAUUGAUUUGGACACAUUUUUAUAGAUUGAUACAAUCAAGAUAUACAGAUUGUUGCACAAUUGAAGUAGAAGGAGAAGAGUAAGUCUUUGAAACCUACAGAGGAUACUUUGAAUAUGACUUUUGAGUCUUUAUGAGGUUCAAGGCCUUAAUUACAUAAUCAAGUAAUCUUUGAGGCAAAUUUUGAUUAAUACACUGUAUUCCAUUUUUUUUUCAAUUUUUUGAUUUUCCAUAACUUCAUUCUAAAAAUUCUGAUUUAUAUUUUUUAAUAUUAUUAGUGAGAAUAAAAGAGCUAUCAACACAAAUAUAGUAUUAAUAUUUUAUUUUAUAUCAUUUAGUAACUAAAACUCUAUAAAAUUAAAUAUAUCUUAUUCUAAUAAUAUUUAUUUUUCAUUAUUAUUUUUGUUCUUUUUAUUCCUUAUAUUUCUUAAUCACACCAUUAAUCAGAAACAAUUCUAAAGCAAAAACACUUUGUAAUUUGAGUUGAAUAAAAAAUAAUUUCUUCUAUCCUUAUCUUCUAAAUAUUAUAUUCUGAUAUUUCUUUGUAAUAAAAACUUUUAAUAUUUGGAAAUUUAUUUCUAAUUUUUUUGCUUCAUACAGCUUAUAUUACAUAUGUUGUCUCCACUAAUAUAAUCCAUUUAAAAUAAUGAUAUUUCACAGAUUGUGGACUAAUAAUAAAGUAAUCUGUAUAUUCCGCAAAAAA
rnacentral:lncRNA from 1 species